CCUUAAAAAAGAAAUUCUGUCACAUGCUACAACAUGGAUGAACCUUAUGCUAAGUGAAAUAAGCCAGUCACAAAAGGACAAAUACUGUAUAACUCUGCUUAUAUGAGCUACCUAGAGUAGUCAAUUCAUAGAGACGGAAGGUAGAAUGGUAGUUGUCUGGGGAUGUUGGUGGAACAGGGAAUGGGAAGAUGUUUCAGAGUUUGAGUUUUGCAAGAUGAAGAGUUCUGGAGAUUGGUUGUAUAAUGUGAUUGUAUUUAACACUUCUGAACUGUAUACUUAAAAAUGCUUAAGAUGGUAAAUUUUAUGUUACGUACAUUUACUACUGUUAAUUAAAAAACAAAAAAGAACUCAGGAGCUUCUGAUCCUUCCUUGUCAUCUUGUAAUGUUUGUAACGUUUCUCUCUUGGUUGUGAGGUGAUGCCACCAUUCAGGCAUCACAGCAGAAGCAUUAUGUCCAAAGAAGAGGAGAGGCCUUCCUCUUGUUUAUUAGUGAGAAACCUUUCUCAGGAGGCCCCAGCAGACUUCACCUCUCAGCUCCCAUUUGCCAGAUUGGAUCUCAUGCUGCAAGGGAGCCUGGGAAAGCAAGUGAGACAUCAGAUGAGGCCUGCAAAGAAACACAAGACUGGUUCUGGAGACAUUUCCAACUGAGGGGAAGUCAGAAAGGCCUGGCAGCCCUGGGAACCCAUUCUUUGCUUAUGCCAAGAAAUUGAGUUAGCCUGCUCAGCUUGAGAAAACACUAGAACUUCUGGCAACUGCUCUAAGUGGAUUCUCUCACUCCUCUGAGCUUUGCUCAUAGCCACUGAAUGCAUUAUGUCACAAAGCUAGUUAUAAAAGAUCUUGAGAGCCAAGGGAAGGCUGAUUCAUCUGAUAGGCUAAUUCUGGAGCCUACCUUGAGCCUGGCUUGUGGUAUACUUCCAGGAGGCUUGGCUGAGAAGUUAAAGAAUAAAACAAAACCCGUCAAUAAGAUGAAACCCACCCUUAGCUGUAGAAAUUACAAUUACCUCAGGUUUGCUGGCUGUGAAAGUUUAGAUUUUACUGGAUAUAUUUAUUUUCAGUCUCAGUUUCUUUUCAGGCUUUAGACUAUCGUUCGGUGUGAUUUUUAUGGUUACUUGAAGGGAAGAGGGACCUCCUUUUUUGCCGUAAGAAGUGCUUUAUUUUAUUUGGAAAGUGGGAUCUACUAAUGAAACGUUGGUUGUCCCCCGUGGCUUUAGGGUGAUUUUGGCUUUACCCUAUGACUUUUUUGAGAACUCAGGGCAAUCCCUGACCUUCUCAGUUAACCACAUUUAUAAAAUGGAUGAUGAUAACAGGAAUUUAAACUGGAGGAGGACCGUAGAGAUCAUCUGUUAUAACAGUUCUCAGACUUUUCUUUCUCCAGGACACAUGUAAUGGAUGUUUAGUUUGGGACCUCCCAAAAGCAGACUCAGGGACAAGAAGUUGGGUGCUGGGAAGUGAUGCCAGGAAGCAGCAGCGAGAGAGGGAGAGGUAGAGAGGGAAGGAGGAAGACAAUAAAAGGUGUGCUAAUGGGCUGGCUGCCACCAAGGCCACCUGGGGCUCAGCCAUGUUGGGGACCACUUGACUAUGCCUCAGAAGUGUCCUGCCAAGGGACAGCAAGUCAGGGUAUUUAUCUGCUGACUCUGUCUCUUAUUGGUUGAGGGUUGCCCCUGAGAGCUGAGCUACUUCCCACACCCCAGAGAAAGCCCUCACGUGGAGAAACAGACAGACCUGGGCCCCUGAGGUGGGAGCUGUCAGCAGUUGUAGGAACUGUCCUCUCCAGUUGUAGGCGAGCUCAGACAUGGGUGAGGGCAGCAGUAGUGUCUGCCUCAGUGGGUAACUUAAAGUGACAUAACAGACUUCUGUGGGGGUACCCAUGGUUAUUGUGGUGGUUUUAAAGUCUCAUCUGCAAAUUCUUGACACACCUCCCAUUAAGAGGUGGGGAUCUAUGGCUUCUUUCCCUUGAAUCUAGGCAGGCUUGUGACUGCUUUGAUCAAGAGAUUAUGGUAAAAGUGACCUAUAUGACUUCCAAAGUUAGGUCAUAAAAAGCCAUGCAACUUCCACCGUGGCUGCUGGGACACUUGCAUUUGGAACUUUGAUCUGUUAUGUAAGAAGCCCAGUGACCCUGAGACUGCCAUGGUGGAGUGGCUGUGUGGAGGCUUUCUGGUCAACAGCCGCAGCUGAACUCACAACCAAUGGCUCGCAUCAGCUGCCAGCCAUGGGAGUGAACCAUCUUGGAUGUCUAGCUCCGUUGAACCUUCAGAUUUUUGCAGCCUCAGCCAGCAUCUGACUGCAACCUCUCGUGUGCCCCUCGUUCCUAAGACUGAUUUGAAACCUACAUCUUGCAGAAGUUGAUAAUAAAUCCUUCUUUUGUCAAUGAGAAUAAAAAUUUUGAGAUGAAAAAUGGUCAGUCUGAUGGUUUUCCCUGACUCUGGGUGAGUCAUAAACACUGCACGGCUGGACUUCAGAAAUUGACUGCUAAAAUGGCCCUAAGGAAGAUUUAACUGAGAAGUGAUCAAUUCAGCAACUGCAAAUAGAUAAAGCUUCAUCACAGAUUCUGAAGUGUUUAGACUUCAACGUUCUUCAGGAUUCCUGAAGCGCAACUUCGCACCUUCUGUUUGCAGAGCCCUGUCAACAAUGCUGGGACACUGGUUUGUGAUGUGUUUUGUUCAAAGACUAAUUGAGGUGUUAGGCACAGGUAAGGAGAAGUGCUGGGAAAACGUCCACCAAAAGUUCUCAGGGUCUUCUCUAACUUAAAGCACUAAAGUAAAUGUAAAUUGAUGUCUCUGUAGAGUGUGCUUAUGUGUGUGUUUAUUUAUGUAUACCUGCCCCAUUCGAAGAUGGAAAUUAGCUUAUUCCUCUAUCCCAUAUAUUUCCUGUAAACUAGAAGUUAGAUCUUUAGACUCCAGUUUAUUAGACUUUAUUAGAUUCCAGUUAAUUCUUUAUGACUAUAAUACACUGUAGGUGGGGUUGCAGCUUCAUAUAGCAUCAUAGCUACUUAUUUAGCUCAUGCUUCUGAAGGUCACUCCUGUUUGGGCGGGGCUCAGGUGGACAGAUCUGGUCUAGGCUGGGCUUGGUUGAUUUUGGCUGGGUCAGCGAGUGGUUUGGCUGCAUUGAUUGGCUUGUAAUGGCUUCAGCUGGGAUGGCUUGGAUGCCUGGGACCUCUCUCCAUGUGAUCAUUUGUCCUUCAGCGUGCUACUUUGGGCUCAUUCACUGGCAGCUCAGGGUUUCAAGGGCGAGAGCAGAAGCACACAAGGCCUCUGGAGGUGUAGCAUCUGAAGUUGUGCAAUAUCAUUUCUGUCAGAGAAAAUCUCAAGGCCAGCCCAGAAGUGGAGAAAGACUGUACUUCUUAAUGAAAGAAGCUAUAAUGUCACAUUGCUAGGGUGUGGGUACAAGGAGGGAAAAAAUUUGUGGCCAUUUCUUCAGUCUACCACAGUGGGUUUGUGUUUCUGUCAGUGCAUGUACUCCUCACCUUAUGUGUGGGCCACUAGCAGGGAAAUGUCUCAGGCUACUGUUGAAAAUAUAAGUUUCUGAGAAACCAGGUGCCACGAAUGUGUCAGAGUAACAGAGAAGCCCUGAAAAUGAGGAUUUUGAGUUCAGUUGGGAUGGUAAGUCAGAAGUUGGUGAGGACCUUUCUUCCAAAAAUUGUAGUGGCAAAAACUUGUGGCAUUUCCCUCUAUGAUAUCUCUGUCUAUCUAUCUAUCUAUCUAUCUAUCUAUCUAUCUAUCUAUCUAUCUAUCUAUCUGUUUUUUUCUUCAGCAUUUCAUAAGGACAUUCAGUUAGCUCAUUUGAAAAUGUAACUUUCAGGAAAUAAAAUCUGUAGUGUAUAGAAUAUACUACGGACCAUGGCAAGAUAUAAUGGUGCUGUGCAGAGUACGAUCACUUUAUAACAAAAUGUCAUAGACCGAGUGACUUAAACAACAGAAAUUCAUUUCUUGAAGUUCUGGAGGCUAGGACGUCUGAGAUCAGGGUUCUAGUGAGGACCCUCUUCCUGGCUUGUAGACGCUUCCUUCUUGCUUUAUUCUCACAUGAUGGGAAAGGGUGAGAGGGUGAGAGAGAGAGAGAGAGAAAGACACUCUCUGAUCUUUUCUCAUAAGGGCAUUAAUCUCAUCAUGAGGUCCCCGCCUGUAUGACCUCAUCUAAACCUAAUUACCUCCCCAAAACCUCAUCUCCAAAUAUCAUCU